GAAACGGUGCCUAAUACCGGAUGUGAACUCCUUUUGCAUAGAGGGAAGUUUAAAGGUUUCGACCGCUAAAAGAUGGGCCUGCGUAACAUUAGCUAGUUGGUAAGGUAACGGCUUACCAAGGCAACGAUGUUUAGCUGAUUUGAGAGAGUGAUCAGCCACACUGGGACUGAGAUACGGCCCAGACUCCUACGGGAGGCAGCAGUGAGGAAUAUUGCGCAAUGGAGGAAACUCUGACGCAGCAAUGCCGCGUGAGUGAAGAAGGCCUAUGGGUUGUAAAGCUCUGUCAGGAGGGAAGAACGGUCAGGUUUGUAGCUUGACGUGACGGUACCUCCAGAGGAAGCUCCGGCUAACUCCGUGCCAGCAGCCGCGGUAAUACGGGGGGAGCAAGCGUUGUCCGGAAUCAUUGGGCGUAAAGGGUGCGUAGGCGGGCUAUUAAGUCUGAUGUGAAAGCCCACGGCUUAACCGUGGAGAGUCAUUGGAUACUGAUAGUCUUGAAUCACAGAGGGGCUAGUGGAAUUCCAGGUGUAGCGGUGAAAUGCGUAGAUAUCUGGAGGAACAUCGGUGGCGAAGGCGACUGGCUGGCUGUUGAUUGACGCUGAGGCACGAAAGCGUG
rnacentral:rRNA from 1 species